rnacentral:rRNA from 1 species
CGUCUAUAUACGUAUAGCAUAUCAAUAAGCGGAGGAAAAGAAACUAACAAGGAUUCCCCUAGUAACGGCGAGUGAAGCGGGAAGAGCUCAAAUUUGAAAUCUUAAAGGGUUUCCCUUGACGAAUUGUAGUUUAAAGAAGUGUUUUCUGUUAGAGAGGUUCGGUAAAAGUUCUUUGGAAUAGGACAUCAUAGAGGGUGAGAAUCCCGUAUUUGACCGUUACUUUCUACUAACUGUGUGAUACACUUUCAAAGAGUCGGAUUGUUUGAGAAUGCAGUCCAAAAUGGGUGGUAAAUUUCAUCUAAAGCUAAAUAUUGGCGAGAGACCGAUAGCGAACAAGUACCGUGAGGGAAAGAUGAAAAGAACUUUGAAAAGAGAGUUAAACAGUACGUGAAAUUGUCAAAAGGGAAGCGCUUGACACCAGUGUUGUUUAGUUGAAAAUCAAUUCAAUAGUUUUUGAUUUUAAGUAGUAUUGACUUCAUCAGCUUGCUGCUUUCUUUCAGAAAUUAUUGAAUGCACUUUUCAGUUAACAAGUCAACAUCAAUUUCUUUUGUUGUAAAAGGGUAAGAGGAAGGUGGCUUACGUUUCGGCGUAAGUGUUUAUAGCCUUUUACCUCUGCAAUCGGAGAGAUUGAGGACAGCAGCGUAGACUCCUUCUGGGGUUAGAUACACUUGUGCUAAGCUAUAGCCUUGUAUAGACAACUUGUUGACUAUGCUCAGUCAUGUAGUUUACUCGCUUGUGCUAUUUUACCUACGCUUAGGAUGUUGAUAUGCAUGACUGAUAU